ACUUAGCUGCAAUUUUCAUGCUGAUUUCUAACAAUUUGCAGAAUCUUGUUGAAUUUCUUCUUUCUUCACUGCGGUUUUUUUUUUUUUUUUUUUUUUUUCAGACAGAGUCUUGUUCUGUCUCCCGGGCUGGAGUGCAGUGGUGUGAUCUCGACUCACUGAAACCUCCACCUCCUGGGUUCAAGUGAUUCUCCUGCCUCCACCUUCCGAGUAGCUGAGAUUACAGAUUUAUAACAGCAUUAUCAAAUCUGUCUGGUGUCUUUGAAGAGUUGUGGAACAGUGGAGAGAUCCAGGACCCAGGCCACGCCAACUGAUUCAAGUCUCUGGGAAGAAAUUUGAAUUAAUCUAAACUUGUAAAAAAUUAAGAGUGUCUAUACAAAAGAGAAUCAGCAUCAUAACUGCAAUAUUCAGCACAUAUUGAAGAUAUCAAUAUUAUUAUUUACAUAUAGAAGAUAAUAGCUUUGUGAAAAAUGACAAGUGGCUCUCCGUGGUCGACAGAGUUCUGCAGAGUUGUGAAGACUCUUCCUGCUUUCCCUUCACCUUUUGCCAUGAAUGUAAAUUUCCUAAGUCCUCCCAGUCAUGCUUCCUGUUAAACCCGUGGAACGAGACAGUGUCUUGCCAUGUUGUCCAGGCUACCCUUGAAAUUCUGACAUCAAUUACUCUUCCCACCUUGGCCUCCCAAAGCACUGGGAUUACAGACAUUAGCCAUCAUGCCCCACCAUGCUGCUGCAGUGCAGGAGUGCUAUCUCAGCUCACUGCCACCUCCGCCUCCUGGGUUAAAGUGAUUCUCUUUCUUCAGCCUCCUAAGUAGCUCGGACUACAAGCACCCACCAACCAUGCCUGGCUAAUGUUUUUGUAUUUUUAGUGGAGAUGGGGUUUCACCACAUUUGCCAGGCUGGUCUUGAAAGCCUGAUGACUGCCAUAUGAUUCAGCUAGUGGGUAUGUAUCCACAUAAAUAAAAUUGCUAUAUUGAUAAAAUAUCUGUACUCC
rnacentral:lncRNA from 13 species